rnacentral:rRNA from 1 species
GACGAACGCUGGCGGCGCGCCUAACACAUGCAAGUCGAACGAUCGAGAGGAGUUUUACUUUCUCAUGCGAGUGGCGAACGGGUGAGUAACGCGUGAGGAACCUGCCUCAAAGAGGGGGACAACAGUUGGAAACGACUGCUAAUACCGCAUAAGCCCACUACCCGGCAUCGGGUAGAGGUAAAAGGAGUCAUACGCUUUGAGAUGGCCUCGCGUCCGAUUAUAUAGUUGGGGAGGUGAUGUCCCACCAAGGCGACGAUGGGUAGCCGGACUGAGAGGUUGAACGGCAACAUUGGGACUGAGAAACGGCCGAGAAUCUUACGGGAGGGAGGAGUGGGGGAUAUUGCACAAUGGGGGAAACGCUGAUGGAGCGACGCCGGGUGGAGGAAGAAGGUCUUCGGAUUGUAAACUCAUGUUGUUGAGGAAGAUAAUGAAGGUACUCAACAAGGAAGUGACGGCUAACUACGUG